AUGGCCGCUGUUAUCUUGUCCAACACCCAGGUUAUGCCCACCAGUUAUAACAAGACCAUCAUGAGCAACUUGUCCUUGCACCGUAUCGGCAAUGGGGCCGACACAAAUCAAGCCACUGUGAUCCAAAAGGAUUACAAGUUUGGUCAUACUGCUGUUAAUGACUGGGUAAUUUACGAAGGUGCAGGCCCAGGUCCGGUGUUCGCCCGUGGACAAGGCAGCCACAUUCUUGCCGGCAACUCCAUAUCUACCAUCGUGAUAACAUUCGAGGAUCCAAGGUACAAGGGCUCCAGCCUUGCUGUUAUGGGCAACAUCUUGGAUAAUGGUCAGUGGGCUAUUGUUGGAGGGACUGGGUUAUUUAAGUAUGCAACUGGGUUCAUUGACUUGGUUCCUGUUCAACAGUCGAGCCCCAAGAACAUUUCAAACAUCACCAUCGAAGUAUGCAAUCCAAACUAUUGA
rnacentral:rRNA from 1 species